UCCGGGUUUCGCCCGGCAGUCUCCCUAGAAUAUUCAACUAAGGACAGGGGUUGCGCUCGUUGCGGGACUUAACCCAACACCUCACGACACGAGCUGACGACAGCCAUGCACCACCUGUGCACGAGCCCCGAAGGGCUGCCGUGUUUCCACGACAUUCCCGUGCAUGUCAAGCCUUGGUAAGGUUCUUCGCGUCGCGUCGAAUUAAACCACAUCAUCCACCGCUUGUGCGGGCCCCCGUCAGUUCCUUUGAGUUUUAACCUUGCGGCCGUAGUCCCCAGGCGGUGAACUUAAUGCGUUAGCGCCGGCACCGACGGGAUCAAGACCGCCGGCACCUAGUGCCCAUCGUUUACAGCGUGGACUAC
rnacentral:misc_RNA from 1 species